rnacentral:miRNA from 15 species
AUCAUACAUGUUUGACCUUUUU